GCGAGCGUGGCGGAAUGGUAGACGCGCUGUCUUCAGGUGGCAGUGAGCGUAUGCUCGUGGGGGUUCAAGUCCCCCCGCUCGCA
rfam:Bifidobacterium tsurumiense strain JCM 13495 Contig18, whole genome shotgun sequence.